rnacentral:rRNA from 1 species
UACAGAGGGGGCAAGCGUUGUUCGGAAUUACUGGGCGUAAAGGGCGCGUAGGCGGCCUCUUAAGUCGAACGUGAAAUCCCCGGGCUCAACCCGGGAACUGCGUCCGAUACUGGGGGGCUUGAAUCCGGGAGAGGGAUGUGGAAUUCCAGGUGUAGCGGUGAAAUGCGUAGAUAUCGGGAGGAACACCAGUGGCGAAGGCGACUUCCUGGCCUGUUCUUGACGCUGAGGCGCGAAAGCUAGGGUAGCAAACGGG